rnacentral:rRNA from 1 species
CGGUGGAGCAUGUGGUUCAAUUCGAAGCAACGCGCAGAACCUUACCUGGGUUUGACUAGCCAGGAUUAUCUCCGUGAAAGCGGUGCCGAACUGACAGGUGUGACGAGCGAAACCUUUACCCUUAGUUACCAGCGAGAUGUCAAGUCUCAUGGCCUUUAUACCCAGGCCACAUACAUGGCGUUCAUAAGCGACCCUAAACUGCGAAGUCAUGGAUCGCAAAAAUAACGCCCCAGUUCAGAUUGGAGUGCAACUCGCCUCCAUGAAGUUGGAAUCGCUAGUAAUCGGGAUCAGCUACGCCGCGGUGAAUGUGUUCCUGAGCCUUGUACACACCGCCGUCAAGUCAUGGGAGCCGGAAAUAGCCGAAGUGGCCACAAUACUGUGGUCCCUACGUAGGUUCGGUGACUGGGACUAAGUCGUACAAGGU